GACGAACGCUGGCGGCGCGCCUAACACAUGCAAGUCGAACGAGCGAGAGAGAGCUUGCUUUCUCGAGCGAGUGGCGAACGGGUGAGUAACGCGUGAGGAACCUGCCUCAAAGAGGGGGACAACAGUUGGAAACGACUGCUAAUACCGCAUAAGCCCACGGCUCGGCAUCGAGCAGAGGGAAAAGGAGCAAUCCGCUUUGAGAUGGCCUCGCGUCCGAUUAGCUAGUUGGUGAGGUAACGGCCCACCAAGGCGACGAUCGGUAGCCGGACUGAGAGGUUGAACGGCCACAUUGGGACUGAGACACGGCCCAGACUCCUACGGGAGGCAGCAGUGGGGAAUAUUGCACAAUGGGGGAAACCCUGAUGCAGCGACGCCGCGUGGAGGAAGAAGGUCUUCGGAUUGUAAACUCCUGUUGUUGAGGAAGAUAAUGACGGUACUCAACAAGGA
rnacentral:rRNA from 1 species